rnacentral:misc_RNA from 1 species
AGUCACUAAGUACACGCAUGUCUCCAUAAAUGUAUAAAAUAAUAUUAAAAUUUGAAGCACAACAUGCGGUUUGUUACAGUUCCCAGACAAUGUUAGACAUAUUCCUUGGUAUAGAUAAAGAUGGCUUCCCAGCACUCGGGUAUACUACAGCAAGUGGAGAAUUUUGAGAUUCUUCCGGAAGCAGUUACUUUACAAAAUGAGGGUGAUGAUGUACAUAUUGAAAAGGCUGUUGAGGCUAUGAUGCAACUUUCUCCAGUACAAAUACAACAAGAGUACUAUGAAAAUUUGGGCGACUGCGACUGGGUGAAGUAUGAGAAAAGUAAUAGAAACUAUUUGCUACAAAAUGUAGCAUUUGCACUUUUCGGUGGUCCCAGCUAUGAAGGUGAACUGUCAGAAGUUGAGGACAAUCAGCACGCACAUCUUGAAGGAUAUACCUCAAGACAAAAGGAACAAGUCAUGAGAGUAUAUGAAAAAUUAUGUGAACAAAGUAAAUAUUCCCACAAUGACGAUGAUAUAGUAAUGUCAGUGCUUCUGAUUGUGUGCGCUAAACCAAAACCUCUGAAGUUCUAUCAAAUACAACCGUCAAACUACUGGUUGGACUUGCAUGAGAAAACUGACAGUGAUAUAUGGUGUACCGCGGUAUUCAGGGUCAGAAAAUGCAUACCUACUACUGUUGGAAUGAAGUCUUGCCGAGUCUACAUCGACGAGAAUGCCCGAGUAUAUCAUGACUGGGACUCGUACCUAACAAACAAUACUCUGCCAAAAUGUGUCAUUAUUGUGCCUGAAAAUGGAGAGUACACUGGAACACUUAUAGAGGGAGAAGAAACUUUCGCAGUAAAAUUGACCGUGGCACCUUCUCCGACGCUCGGUAUAAAGGCGCGGGUGCUAAGCACAGUCGACACGGCUAGCACAGUGGCUUCUAUCGGGGCUAUUGGAGUUAUCGGGGUGGCAGCUUUCACUCCAGUAGCGCCGGUUGUACUGGUGGGUGCGGCGGCUGCUACGGUAGCCACUGGGGUCUACGGCCUUGUACGGUCCUCUCUUCACUUACAUGAUAGAAGUGUUCAUGAACAGACCAUCAGUCCGACAGACGCUGAAGCUCGAGGUAGUUGGUUGAACAUCGCGGCGUCGAGUGUAGGCCUGGCCGCCGGCGCCGCUAGCUCGCUCCUUUCCCGUUCUGCUGCCGCCGGUACCAAUAUGACAAAGACAGGACAAGCGCUAGCUGUGUCUGUGGAAGUAUUACGUCACGCAAACAUGGUCACUGGUGGCGCGGGCGUCGUCAACAGUCUCCUUCAUAUUAUACUGAAGUACCGCAAACAUGGAGAGAAGCCGACUAAGUUAGAGUUGUUCCAAUUCGCAUCGGCGACUUUGUUCUUCUGUCACGCCGUAGUGUCAAACCGAACGGCACAGAGUAUUAUAGAGGAUGCUCAGGCUAAAGCGAUCAACGAGUACCGGGCCACUCUUAGGAGCAAUAGACACAGAAAAAUGUUCGACAAGAUCAGCGCUGAAUCGAGAAGGAUACAAGGUGCCAUACAAGGCAACACUGAAGUCAUUAGAGGCAUUCAGAACAUCAUCGACAAAGACCAGUACUUUGCCGACGUGCUCCGAAUCAACAAAGAUGUCAACCAACACAAGCUCAGAAUAUCCAUGACUUCUGAUGGUCAGGUUAACUUGAACUCCCAGCACAAAUUCAACCCUGCAGAGCUCUAUAACCUUGGUAAGGAAGGAAGGGCGCAACUGUUCAGUUCACUUGGACCUGCCUCUGUCAACACAAGUAAUGUACCAACAAGGAUUGUGCCCACAACGAAUGCCGUGUCCGGUUACAUAGAAGGCGAGGAAGAAACAACACUAGUAGGAAUUCACCCCGGUGAAAUACUAAGAAUUGGAUCACUACUAGUGAGAGUAAGUGCGUCUGGCGCCGAAAAUGUAGCGCUUAUGUUAGAAAAUUUAAGCCAAGAUGUGUACGCCAACUUGAUGACGAUAUCCUUCAAUGUGUUAUCCAAACUCCUUCCUGAAGACAUUGCCAGGCUGAGGCUGUUGAGUCCCGAAGAAGAUCUAAUCGUCCAAAUAGUAAAGUUUGUAUUCAACUAUAUGAAGCAUGAGAGGCCACUGGGCGACCCGAGCAGAGAUAACGACAAUGGCAUCGUAAUAGUGCUAAAAGAGUUCUUCCAAGAAGGUGUUGUUCGUCAAGAAACCAUUUUAUAUUUGAAAGAUCGUUUGUUAGGCUGGGUCGACGGUGAAAUGGAUCGCAGAAGGCUAGAAUUUCCGAACAAAAAGUCAAUUGUAUGUGAAAGUUGUAGGGGUAUAAGAUAUGCUUAAGAAUUAAUAUUUUUGAGAUAAUUUUUUUUAUUGUCUUGUUCUACGAAAAUACUGUUUCAUAUUUUCUGUGUACUAAAACUAGGUAAAUAUUUAUUCAGUGGCUUAAAACAUAAUAUAUCAUAUUUACCCACUGCGAAAAGGGUACAUCUAUUACUAUUAAAAUUGUAGAAAGCUUAACCAAAUAGCCCAUUGAAGGGAUUUUAGAUUUUAGGCACUCAAUCAGAUCUUGCUAAGAGUACUAUUUUUCUAUUAUUUAAUUCAAUAAGACGAUCUGGAUAAAUGACAAAAUUAAAAUAAUGUCUUCAUAACUUAACCUACAGACUGGUAUAAUGCCAUUAUUGUCCUUAAAAGUAUAUUAUUAAACACAAUCUGUGUAAUUAAACUUCGAUUAUACACUUAUAUAAUAUUUACCUUUUAUAAGUGUUUUUGAACAUUGCACAUAAUUUACAAAUAAAAUCACUUUUAAAAACAUUAAAAAUCAGACAUAUCAGAAAAGUCCAAAUAUUGUACAUUAGGUAUAAGUACUCAUAAGGCUUAAUUUGUAUUGCUUUUUAAUAAAAUAUCGCAGUACCAAGUGAAAGUUAAAGAUAUUUAUAUAAACAUGUGAUAGAUUAUGCACUGUGAUAACAAAACUGAUUGCUUAUUAGGAUUUACGAAAUAUUACUGCACAAGAUUAUAGUGCCUUUUGAAUUAAAAUCUCAAGAAAUGUGUACUUAAAUACAGACAAUGUGAUUAGAUAGGGAUAUUACUGAAAAUUAUAGAUGCCACGGAAAAUCACUGUAAAAAAAAUAUAAAAUCGUAUAUUGUUGGAGAGUUUGCCUACCUAAGUUCUAUUUUAUCACAAAAAUAAAAUAGUCACAACAGAGAAACUCACAGCUAGAUAGUACCAUAGUACCUUCCUAUCCAGAUUUAUCACUUUGGCUGUAAGAUGUACACAAAUAUUAUGCAUAUAGAAUAAUAAAUAAAAAGAAACAAAUAAUGUGGUGUUGUUAUAAUAAACUAUCUGAUUUAGCGAU